rnacentral:misc_RNA from 1 species
GAUGAAGAACGUAGCGAAAUGCGAUAAGUAGUGUGAAUUGCAGAAUUCAGUGAAUCAUCGAAUCUUUGAACGCACAUUGCGCCCCUUGGUAUUCCAUGGGGCAUGCCUGUUCGAGCGUCAUUUGUACCCUCAAGCUAAGCUUGGUGUUGGGUGUUUGUCCACUCCCUCGUGUUUGGACUCGCCUUAAAACAAUUGGCAGCCAGUGUUUUGGUAUUGAAGCGCAGCACAAUUUGCGAUUCUAGCCUAGAAUACUAGCAUCCAUCAAGUCAUUUUUAUCGCUUGACCUCGGAUCAGGUAGGGAUACCCGCUGAACUUAAGCAUAUCAAUAAGCGGAGGA